CUAAGAUUCAAUCCCAGGCCCUCUAUAAGAGCAGUGUCCUUAACCACCAAGCCACCUCCCCAGCCCCAAGCAUUCCUUGUGUGACUAUCACUACUCACCAGUUCUUCUGUUCAUGAGUAUUUGGUCAUCUUCAAUUCGAGGGCUAUUAUAGGCCGGGCUGGGAGCUUUCUCAUACUUCACUUUGGUAUGUAUACAUUUACUACUGUUGUUACUUUAGUUACAGGAAGAGUCCACAGUCACUAACAUCUCUGUCUCAGUUCUUCUGGGAUGCAGUAACAAAGAGAAACACACUAGGCAGCUUAUAUAACAUGGGCACUACUUUCUCUCUAUUCUGUAAAGUGAUUCUAUCCAAAAUUCGGCCUUUCUGUGCACUCUAUUAUUUAGCCUUCUGACUUCAUUUUUCUUCAUCUUACAGAUGAGGCAACUGAGACACAGAGAGCUCAAGCAUCCCACUCAAAACUACAUGAGCCUGGGUGGUUCAGCAGAUAAGGUGUUUUUGUUCCAAGGUCCUGACAACCUGACUUGGAUCUCUGGAACCCACCUACGGGAAGGAGAGAACUGGCUUCCACAAGUUGUCCUCUGAUCUCCAUUCACCUGUACACGUAUAUACAUGUGAAAAGAAUAAAUAGAUAAAUAAAUACAAUAAUAAUAAGAAAAUCCCCUCACAGGUACAGCAGGAGGAGCUACAGUGGAGCCCAAAGGAUCUGGGAGCAGAGACUGAGCUCUUUGUCACUUACAAUGUCUCCCAUUCCCAACUUCCCCAGUGCUGGGGAAGAGAACCUAGAAAUUGUCUAAGUGAAAAAGUCAUCCCCGACACCGACUGACUUCUAGCUGCAAACCUAAUCAUUCACUGAGAUUCUAUAAUAUGUCUUCUCAUUUUCCCUCAAAUCUAGACUUAAAUUAUUCAUGUCCAUCCUGAAUGUGUUAUCAUUUCCUGAAUGAUCUACUGUGUCUCUCUGCAUCCUUCAGAGCACAGCUGGAACUGUAAUUCAGGUUGCAAAAACAACCUUAAUUCUUUUUUACUUUUUUUCCCCCAAAACGGAGUCUCGCUAUGCAGCCUUAGCUGGUCUGGAACUUGCCGUGUAGAACAGGCAGGUCUUAAAUUCACAGGGAUCUCCUCUGUCUCUCCAGUGAUGGGAUUAAAUAUGUGACUACCACAACUGGUUCCAAUCUCAAUUUGCUAAUUUGAAACUAAACCUUGGCAUUGUUUGGGGACGAAGUUGAGACGGGAACACAAGUCGUGAUACCUUGCAGGAGCAAUGAGGACCUCAGACCCUCUGCUCUGCCUCAACCCAUUGCAGCAGGCUGUAGUAAUACAGAUGAACAGAAGGGGGCAGCAUGCUGCUGGGCUAAAACUGCAACGCAGGGAUAGAAGUAUUCAGGAAACUUCUGAACAUUGGGCUUCCCCGUAAUAUCUGCUGAGCUUCUGUUGGAGAGUAACUGUCUGUGCUCCCCAGCCCCAGUCCCCUGAGGCCAGGGACUAUGUCAUCACCUUUAUGCAUCAGUAGUUUGCAAUGGUGUAUCCUAGUGAGGCUGGACUAAACUGCACCAAGGCCAGAAGGUAGGAAAAGAGGGGUGACCUGUCUGGUGGAGAAAGUGGAGUACUGAAAUCCCUGAUAUUCCUGAUUUGGGGUUAAUCUGGGUCCUGAAGUCUACCUGCAUGCUUUGUACAGAUUUGGAGGCACCAGAGUUUAGAACAUUGGUAUCUAGGAUUGUAGUGUCUUCUUGGUUAACUGCUCGCGUGAUCAGAGUGAGACAUUUAUUUCUUCUGAGACAUUUUGGUUUAAAGCCUAUGUCCUCAGAUACUAUGGGAGCAAUGCCCACUUUUUCUAGGUACCAUUUAGUUGUCCUUCCAUUCUACGGUGGCCCUUAUCCUUGAAGGUUGGAUGGUUUUCUUAUAGACAGCAAAAAGAUGGAUUUUCAUUUCUCAGUCCCAGUCAGUGGACUUCUUUUUGAUUGGGGGAUUGAGACCGCUGAUAUUUAAAGUUAUUUUUGAAAAACUUUGAUUGCUGUCAUUUUGCGAGGUAUGGUUAUUUUGUUGCAAUUUGCAGUUUGUGUCCUUAGACCUAUUUUGUGUUUCAGUGGUAAUUACUUUUUUUCUUUUUCCUUUCUGUAGCCUCUUGGUUGUACGUAGCCAUCUCUUUGACCACCCAGUGGGUGGUGCUCUUUGGGGAGGCUGUGGAACCUUAGAGGGUGGAGCCUGCCUUGCUGGAGGAAGUGCAUCCUAACUGCCUGGAAGCCAGUCUAGUACUAGCAGCCAUCAGAUGAAGAUGUAGAACUCUCAGCUCCUCCUGCACCAUGCCUGCCUGGAUGCUGCCAUGCUCCCACCUUGAUGAUAAUGGACUGAACCUCUGAACCUGUAAGCCAGCCCCAAUUAAAUGGUGUCCUUUAUAAGACUUGCCUCAGUCAUGGUGCCUGAUCACAGCAGUAAACCCUAACUAAGACACCAUCAUUUCAUUCAGCAGUAUGUUUGUGCUUUCUUGGACAUUUACCAGGAAUUUAUCCCUCUCCUCUUUAAGGUCAUUCAAUAGUUCAUGUUCUCUGUACAAUUCUUGAAUUCUUUUAUCAUGUUUACAAUUUUUCUCUUAAAUUCUCUGUCUUGGAGUUCAUCUAGACAAUUCUAAUUGAAGAACAAUUUUACUUUGGGGGGGUUGGUAGUGGUGAGGGACAUAUUGUCAUAGUUUUUCAUAUUGUGUUUUGUGUGAUGUGACCUGAGCAUAUAGCUUGCUUUAUUGACUAUAUGUCUGUAUGUCUAUAUGUUUGAAAUGACAAUCUAACGGUCUCUGUUGAGUGGAAAUUUUGCCAAUUUUCAAACUUGGUUGAUUUUAGAUUAGAAAUGAAGAGUUUGUAGGUCAAUCCUUUGGGUAUUCAGUGUUAAUUUUUGAUUGGAGAUACUGGGUUGAUUCCAAUUUCAUGGGAACUGAAGAGCCUGCAAAUGGGCUCAAACUGAGCAUAAAAGGGCACUGUGCAUCCACGGAUCCGGGACAGACUCACUGAUUGAGAGUGAGUUCAACUCCCUACUGGACCUGGGCAAGAAGGGGUGGUACUGAACAGACUCAUGAUGAGAGCAUGUGUGGGUGCCAUCUGGGAAUGGAGGGAUGCAGGCAAAGGUCUGGGAUGGCUAUUGCAGGGAGUAUGCACAGAGGUUGGACUCCUGGUUGGGUCUGGGCAUAGGGGUGGCAAGGAAACAGGUCUAAGGAACUCAC
ensembl:lncRNA